GUCCAAUAGGGGGCGCCGCGUUGGAACGCCCGAAGAGGUUGCCAAGCCUGGGGGGAGAGGUGGUGUCCCAGGGGCCAACCCUUGGGUGUGUUGAUGGCGGCAGGCUAACCUAGCCAACGGGGUGCCGCUGCCGGGCAAGGUGAGGAGCAAGAAGAUUUCCAGGGCUGGGAGGUAGAGGGCCAGGACCCCAAGGAGAGGGCUUACUGCGAGGAGCAGCCCAGGAUGGAUAAGGAGUUGAGGCCCCAGGGAUGCUGAGCCUGCACAAGUGGAAGGUCAGUAGACAUUGGGGUUGGAGCCCCAGGGAGACUGCCAUGGGUGCUCCAAAGGGGUUGUUUGCUUUCGUCAGGCCUCGCGCUCACCCCCAAAGUACCAUUUGUCGAGGAACGGGUUCAGGGUCUCUGUUCGACACCCUCAUGGGUCUGUGGGACCCCUUUGUUCAUUCUUUCUGAUAUCAUGAUCUUUGCCAGGGGAGCACAUGCAUGGAGGUGACUAAAAAAAAUUUAAAAAGUUAGACAAAUACCAAUUCCUCAUCCUAGAGAGUAGAGCAGCAUACAAAUGAAAGAAAAGACCUCCACUUGGGGGGACCUUGAAAGUCUUGGUGGAGAAAAUGGCUUUUUAUAUGGGCCUCCAAGGAAGGAUAGACGCCUUGGCUAUGAAUAGAAGGUGGUAGUGGGGGAUGGGAGACGGUUUGCCCACCACGAACAAAGGAUUUAAUGGUAGGAAACAUGGGGCGUGGCUGGGUAAACACAACUGGCCACCUUGGCUGGCUCUUGGGGAGCAGGGGGAGAAAAGUUAGGAGAAAUUAGAUAGAAUCUCUCUGAGGAUGCCAUGGGGUAUGAGGGCAAGCACUUUUGAGGCUAUUUUGGCAGGAAACGGAAAGGAUGUUGAAAGUUUUUUGUUCUGCAAGUGAGGAUUUGAGCCUACUUUUAGGAAAAGCAGAAGCAGCAUGGAGGAUGAUCCUGAUCGAGAACAAAGGAAAGGGGUUAUGCACAAAGGAGAUGUUUAAAGGAGAGACCUAGCACGGUAAAGGAAGCAGUAAGGCUGAAGGACGGCACUCAAGAGGGGUCCCAAAGGAUCCUCCUGGAGCAGCUCUUAUGCUAGAAAGACACAAAAGAUGGAGGAGCCAAAGUAUGGCACCCAGAUGGAUGCAACACUGGGAGUGGGACAGGGAAGUCAGUGGGAGGGGCUGGCAAGGUGGCAGUGCUGACUUGGUUUUAGACAUGGCAGAGUUGAAGGAACUUUGGGCAGUUGGGAUGGAGAUUUUUGCAGCCCAUUAUCUGGGAGGAAGUUCAGAAAAAGAUAAAGGUCACACAUUCAAAUUGGCAAUCGUACUUACAAAGAUGAAUUUAUGGAGUCAGAGAAAACUCUUUAGGGGAGAAAUACAUUUGGUAAUAGAAUCUUGAACAACUGGCGCACUGGACAGGAAAAAGGGAGACAGUCCAGGAGUGAGUAGGGAGGACUCAGAAGGGAGAGAUGGGAGCACACCAGAGGAAGGGGUUUCAGAACCACUCAGCGCAUCUCAUCUAGACUUGGUGUUUUAGCCUCUGCACUGGUGGUAUUUGGGGCCAGGCAAUUCUUUGUUGUGGUGACUGCCCUGUGCAUUGUAGGAUGUUGAGCAGCAUCCCUAGCCUCUACCCACUAGAUGCCAGUAGCAUCCCCUUAGUUUUAACAACCAAAAAUGUCUCCAGACUUUGCUAAAUGUCCUCUGGGGGGCAAAAUCUCCCCCAGUUGAAAAUCACCACUAUAAGCUGAGAAAGGACCCUUAGAUUUGAAUAGGAAUUGCCUUAAUUUAAAGAUAAAUUAAGACUAGGAAGAAUAAAUCCCAGUAUUUAACCCUGAUAUUCCCCCUUUUUUCCACUCCUGUUAUUUCUCUGUAGUGACUGGCUACCAGACUCUGAAAAACCUAAGUCCUUUAGGGAAGACCACAAAGGCAUCCAACCACAGUCUGCGCUGCAGCCCGGCAGAACUAAGUCUUGGGCGCCGCGACGCCUUUCCUACGGAAUAGGUCCUGGAAGGAAGACCAUUUAAGGUAUUUUCCUUCUAUCAUCAUCCUUUUCUUAGGAGUUAAGAACCUGACCGUCAUUCAUCUCAAGCCCUCAAAACGCUUUACUAUUCCUCCAAAUCAUUGUCAUCCGAAUAAUUAAGCCGGCGCAAAAUGAGACACGCACACCAGGAAAAAAAAAAAAAUCAAUUUCCAAGUCGGAUGAGAUUUUUAAAAGACAUUUCACUUAAUCAGUCUUUCCCUCCAGGACUGGCGAGGAGAGUACGCCUUCCCUUCCGAAGGUGCGUUACCAGAUUGCUGCCGUUUUUGUGCUAGGUCAUCAGAGCAGAUUCCCCUCCAGGUUACAGGUUAAACUUAACUCUACCCGUGCUGAAAAUGGCCGGAGCACGCCGCCUCGCCUCCCCUCCCCAAGGCUGCCGGAGCCGCCGGCCCCUGCCUCCUUUUCGACGACUGAUCGUCCAAGGACUGGCGCCGGAUCCAACACCUUUCCCCAGCUCUGCGCGUACCGCGCUCUUUGGAAACGAAUUGUAAGUUAUCCUGAUGUUAGACGCGACCCCCGUCUCCAGCCUGUCCCUUGUUCCGCUUUACCUUUCCGCUUGCGACGAUCUCGAGGGCCUCCAGAGUUCCUGCGCAAACAGCCCAGGACGUCUCCUGCUAAGCCGCAUGCAGCCUGGCCACCCGACCAGCUGCGCCAAAAGCUUGGCAAUACCCCGACGUGACCAUGCCUGUGCGUUCAACCCUGGUAGCCCGUAGGGGCACCCCCAAGGGUCCCCUUACCUCCUCUACGUUUCCCCCAGGUACUUUCCCCUAACCGCCCGCCGCCGGGAGAGGUCAGCUCCGGCGCGCGCGGGCAGGUGCGCACACUCUUUGAGGCGGUCUCUGUCCCGCGAGCGACGGGAGGCGGGCUGUGGCGGCCAAGGCUGGCGCACGGCAGCUGGAGGCACUGGCGCGGAGGUCCCGCGGCUUAAUUGUCAGCUCUGGGACCUGGGCUCCCGGCUCUGAGCUGCUUAGGCGCCGCGCGCCCGUGACUUCCCUCCCGGGUGGUCAGUCUCUAGAGUUCUCGCCCAUUCCCAUUCUGAUUACUUUCCGCACAUUUCAACAGUGUCUUUUACAGCGCGGCUGCUCUCACAUCGUGAAAGUUGGCGCGCGCACCUCCGAACCACAUUUUGGACACCUGAGAAGGCCAACUUAUUUGAGACUAGUCUUUCUAGGAGGAAGAAAAGCGCGCAAAACAAGUGACUUACCAAUGCCGUUUGGGUGUGCAGCUCCAAAUCUGGGGUGCGUUCGGGAUUCAGUCGCGUAGCCGGGGCACCAGCUCGGAGACCUCAGGUUGUCUCCAGCGGGACGCACGGCGUGCGCCCCGCCGUCCAACAAGCCUUUGGCCACCAGGGCGCCCCUGGCAUCCUGGGAAGUUUGGGGGAGCCCUCGCCGCCUCACCCUGACCCCUGAUCCCGGGCUGGCCAGCUGAGCCUCCUCUCUUCCCACUCUCCCCUGACCUGCCUUUCCUUCUCACCUCCUUUCCGCCCGCGCUGCUCCCACACCGCCCUCAGGCUCCCCAAUUUAGCGGUGGGCAACUAACCUGAA